rnacentral:rRNA from 1 species
CGGGGUGAGUAAUGUCUGGGAAACUGCCUGAUGGAGGGGAUAACUGCUGGAAACGGUAGCUAAUACCGCAUAACGUCGCAAGACCAAAGAGGGGGACCUUCGGGCCUCUUGCCAUCGGAUGUGCCCAGAUGGGAUUAGCUAGUAGGUGGGGUAACGGCUCACCUAGGCGACGAUCCCUAGCUGGUCUGAGAGGAUGACCAGCCACACUGGAACUGAGACACGGUCCAG